UACGUAGGGAGCAAGCGUUGUUCGGAUUUACUGGGCGUAAAGGGCGCGUAGGCGGCGCGGUAAGUCACUUGUGAAAUCUCUGAGCUUAACUCAGAACGGCCAAGUGAUACUGCAGUGCUAGAGUGCAGAAAGGGCAAUCGGAAUUCUUGGUGUAGCGGUGAAAUGCGUAGAUAUCAAGAGGAACACCUGAGGCGAAGGCGGGUUGCUAGGACGUUACUGACGCUGAGACGCGAAAGCGUGGGGAGCAAACAGG
rnacentral:rRNA from 1 species